rnacentral:siRNA from 1 species
UAAAUGGAUUUGGACACAGGCCU